AUUUUACAUAAGCUCGACAUCCCAAACAUCAAAGUAAGAGAGUAUCAAAUUAUCCAAGUCCAUAUCCCAUAUGGAGUUUUGAUAAUCGAUUUGCUCAAAAUAUUCUCGAGCACAUAUCAAGUAGUCUCUAAAAUAAAACCUCAGACAGAUUAGCAAACUCCAUAGUGGAUCAAACCAUGUCUAACAAAGUUCAAUUCCUCUUUUCAGACAUCUUUUUAAAAAAAUGAUAUCCCA
rnacentral:lncRNA from 1 species